rnacentral:rRNA from 1 species
GAUGAACGCUGGCGGCGUGCCUAAUACAUGCAAGUCGAGCGAACAGACGAGGAGCUUGCUCCUCUGACGUUAGCGGCGGACGGGUGAGUAACACGUGGAUAACCUACCUAUAAGACUGGGAUAACUUCGGGAAACCGGAGCUAAUACCGGAUAAUAUAUUGAACCGCAUGGUUCAAUAGUGAAAGACGGUUUUGCUGUCACUUAUAGAUGGAUUCGCGCCGCAUUAGCUAGUUGGUAAGGUAACGGCUUACCAAGGCAACGAUGCGUAGCCGACCUGAGAGGGUGAUCGGCCACACUGGAACUGAGACACGGGCCAGACUCCUACGGGAGGCAGCAGUAGGGAAUCUUCCGCAAUGGGCGAAAGCCUGACGGAGCAACGCCGCGUGAGUGAUGAAGGUCUUCGGAUCGUAAAACUCUGUUAUUAGGGAAGAACAAAUGUGUAAGUAACUAUGCACGUCUUGACGGUACCUAAUCAGAAAGCCACGGCUAACUACGUG